GUAGUAAACAAAGAAACAGGAAGUGGUUGAAAUGAAAGAACCAAAUUUGUUACGUUAUUUUAUUCUUUCCUUUGAAUUCCAGACAGGGAACAAAUAACUUUUUAUUGCAGUUGUGUUUAGCUUUGUCUCAUGUGAACCUUCUGAUGACUAGUCACUCAUUUGUUGGAGAUGAAUAGAUGCAGCUGGCGAUUUUAGGUUGGCUUUUGUUGUGAAAAUACAGCCAUGCAUUGUGGGAAAUAAGAGCAUAACGUGUCAAGUAAAAUGUAUAUAAUCUUCAUCCCUGGUGACUAUGACUUUUCUCUACAUGAACCUCCUGUAGGUUUGCAGCUCCUCUGUCUGUUUUCUUGGUGAUGUCUUGAUGGACAGCACCAUCGGUCAGCUUGGUCCCCAUUGUGCUGUACGGCCCACUCAAGUUCACCUGAUGAGUGCCAUUGCUUGGUGGAAUACAAACAUGAUCUCAGACGCCGUGUUUGCCGCCAAAGGACGGAACUACAGAAGCGCCUCAACACCUGCUGAUUCUAUUCGGAGAGACUGUGGACGACAACGUCCGGGGCCCUGCCAAUAUCCCUUCUGACGAGCUGCUGGGGUUGGAUACCCGUUCAGAUGGAGCACAGGUAAGGAGGAGGUUCAGCAUGGGCAGCCAUGAUCCAGAUCCAGAGGCGUACCAGAGCGACGAGGAGGCUCACUCCCAGCGUUCACCCUCUGGUCUCUCCCAAAACCUGCUUCAGGGCUUCCAAAGGCUGGAAAAGUUUUGCUGUGCUAUAAAUCCCCCCGACAGAGGACAAGCUGACUCUUUCCGCUGAGCAGAGGAACACGGUCCUUGAAGCCUGGAAUGAAGUGGAGGAGCAUGAGAAGCAGUUCAACCAGCUGUACAGAGCUCACUGGAGCAUCUGCCUCCACUGCAGCACAAAGAGAGAACAUCUGGUUGAUGUUGUUGUGAUCCAGAGGCUACCGAUGGAUAAGUGCAAAGUCCAGCUCAACAAGACGUCAGUGCUCAGCUCAACAGGCUCAUCUACACGCUGGUUAAACUGUUGUUUGAACAACAGCUGUUUACACUGUGCAUAUA